rnacentral:rRNA from 1 species
GAUGAACGCUGGCGGCGUGCCUAAUACAUGCCAGUCGAGCGAACGUACGAGAAGAUCGCUUUCUUGCUGUUAGCGGCGGACAGUUGAGUAACAAGCGGAUAAGCUACCUAUAAGAAUGGGACAACUUAGGGAAACCUGAGCCAAUACCGGAGAAUAUAAUGAACCGUAAGGUUAAAUACUGAAAGAUAGCUUUGUAGUAACUGACUGUACUACCCGCGCUGCAUUAGCUAGUUGGUAAGGUAACGGCUUACCAAGGCAACGAUGCGUAGCCGAACUGAGAGGGUGAUCGGCCACACUGGAACUGAGACACGGUCCAGACUCCUACGGGAGGCAGCAGUAGGGAAUCUUCCGCAAUGGGCGAAAGCCUGACGGAGCAACGCCGCGUGGGUGAUGAAGGUCUUCGGAUCGUAAAACUCUGUUAUUAGGGAAGAACAUGUGUGUAAGUAACUGUUCACGUCUUGACGGUACCUAAUCAGAAAGCCACGGCUAACUACGUG